rnacentral:sRNA from 3 species
GUUGCUCGCCUGUGGGGGGGAUGAGAAUCCCCGACCGGGGUUCGACAACUGGCGCAGCCAGUUGGACAGACCACGAACGCAGUGAGUGGGCUGCCCGUAGGGCGAGCGCAGCGAGUCAAUCCCCCCCUCACCGCCA